UAUCGUGCACCGUCAUGACGGUUCGGUCGCCUCAGCCUGGUUCUGUCGCCUCUCUGCCGCCGGUGUAACUCACGACUGCUGCUCAAGUCCACGCCGCCAUCCCUAUGAGCCUGCAGGUCAACUCCCACCCACUCCAUCCAGAUCCAGCCCACCAGAAGGACCACUCAGGGCGCCGCCCGAUGGGAACUCAAGCCGCCGCCCCGCUGGCCAUCUCCAUCCCCGCCGCCAGUUUGCUGCCCUUGCUCCACGCCAAUGCUGCCGGAGGGGAUCCAGCCGCGCUUGAUGUGGGGCGACACGGGCGAUCUGCGAGGGGAUCCAGCCAACGAGGGUGACGCGAGCGACAGGUCUUCUAAUCGGAUUCAGCCGACACGCUCGAGGAGAUCCAUCCGAGUGACGCGGGUGACGCGGGCGAUCGGUGUUAGAGGAGGGCUGGGCGAGGCGCUGGCUUCAUCUCUCACAGCCCGAAGCCAAAGCCCCCGUGCAUACUGUCACAACCCAAAUCAGAGACCAUCGAGGUCGGCAAUGAACCUCCAUGGAACCAAGCGGUGAGGCAAUUUGACAUCUUCCUCUCCUUCUCUAUGUUGUGCUCCUUCUGUGGUCUGUGCCCACCUGUCUUUUUGCCUCCUGUAUUCUCCAGCUCGACGCAAAGAGAUCGUAUGCUAUUUUAAGAAUUUAUUUGUUGAACUAUUUGUUCAUGAGAUUUCAAUGCAUUUUUGAAGUACAGAAUUUAGUGUUAGAACUAUCUAGUUAGAUUUAGCCAGCAAUGCUAGAUCAUUGUAGAUGUUUUCUGAGAAUGUGAUGUUCUAAAUUUGAGUUGUUCCAACCGAAGUGCUCGAGGGUAUUCAGCAGGGUGAGGCGGGCGAUCACUCUUGCGAGAGCAAGAUGCCCGGGCAAGACGAGGCGACACGGGCGAUGUGGUUGUGCAGUUCCAUCAAAGGUGCUGUCAGUCAAAGUGUUGGAAGCUCAAUUUGUUCGGCAUGUCUGGGAAAACCUUACCUAAAGAAAAGGCUCAUUCUAUUGUAAUAACGGUGAUUUUCUAUUGUAUUUCUUAUUGUUGUUAGCUAGAUGCCUUUGAAUACUCCCCUCUCAUAUUAUGGUGCAAUGGCAUGGCAAGCGAUAAUUUAGAGGGGUUUGUAAAUUUGAAUGGUGUAUACACUAUUAAAUUAGUUUUGCUUCUGAUGCAUCAUUUUUACACUACUUAUCUUGACAUACUCUGUAUCUAAAGAUUCAAAGAGAUAAUCGAGUUUGACUAAAAUUCUUUUUGUUAUCAUGCAUAUAUGGUGUGUCAAAUUGUUGAGUAUUUCCAGAAAGAUAUUCAGGCGGCGCCAGUGGUUGACCUUUCAAGGUCACUGAAUGGUGUUGCUGCAUAGGGCCAUGGAUUGUCCAGAUCCAAAUAACAACAUCUAAAGAUGCAUUUGGAAAGCUGGUGUUAUGCUGAAUUUUUCCAAGUUUCCUUCGCUUCAUAAAAAAAUUUGAGCAUAUUUGGAGAGCUGUAGCUUGAAAAGGUAAUAAUUGGUAACCUACAAUAUCAUAUUUUAAACUGUGGUUUACUUACUAUGGAGAGCCUGGAUUGCAUCUAGAUAAGUUUCUUCUUCAUUUAAGUUGAUUGCAAUAUGCAAACUUAGAGCCCACCAGAGAAAUUCUACUUUAUAUAUGACAACAAUUAGUACCUUUGUGAAAAUGGGGGUCACAUUGAUGCACGGGAUCCAUUCUGUAGUAUAACAUCUUCCCCCAAACAUAUACUGUAUAAUGUAAUAUCCAUCCUUACUUAUUCUGAUUGAUACUGUCCAUGUUGUCCUGCUACUGAUGUUUUGUAACAUUACAAAGAACAUAUGUAAACCAUGUUUAAUUGCUCAAAAUUUGUCAGUGGAUAACAACUAAUUAUUAGAAAAUAAACACUUCAAUGCAGAUGAUCUCUUAAUGCAAUACUUUAAUUGUACUGGUGAAUUAACUCAUCCUUUUGCACUUAAAUAUUUGGCAUUAGGCUUUUAUGAAUCAUUUGUCGUGCAACAUGUUUUUGCCCACCAACAGUUUCAAGAAAGUCACGGUGGGGCUAUGUGCCUGAUGGUUUAGAAGAUGAGAAGUUGUUGGCAAUGAGCAAAGUAACAAGCCUCUAUCUACAAUGUUUCACGUUAUGCCCUCCCUUAGGCAAUUAUCAAAGUACAUGUGUUGGUAUAUAGCAUUUUUAUUUAGUUAUAUGCCUGGUCUCUCUUGGACAAUGUAUUAAUAUAAUUGUAUUUUUUAUGUAUGUAUGCGUAGAUUCAAUUUGCACA